UAAAAAUGCUUCUGAUCGUUCUGAUACAGCUGCUGCUGAUUGCAUCAGCGAAUGCCCAGACAACAACUGUUGCAACCACCACAACUGCUGCUGCGACUACGACUGUUGCCGGUGCGACGACAACUGUUGCUGGUGCGACGACAACUGUUGCUGGUGCGACUACAACUGUUGCUGGUGCGACUACAACCGUUGCCGGUGUGACUACAACCGCUGCUGCGACCACGACUGUCUCUGGUGCCACUACGACGACAGUUGCAACGACAAACUCAACGACGACAAACAGCACUACAACUAGCACAGCUGCCACUACACAUGCCGGGGUCACUUACAUGGGCAGUCUGGCCUUGUGCCACCUCGGUGUCCUAGUCUAUAAGUUCUUCCUUAGUGUGUAAUUUUUUGUGUUGCCUUUGUCUCUUUUUGUAGAAUGCUGUCUUCGUUUGUCAUGUAAAGACACAGUGUAUCGUCCUUGUUUGAAUAUGUAACCAAAUAAUCAUGUCAUGAAGCACAAGAGUUGAUAGGUUUGAAAAUCUAGAUGAUACAAAGUGUUAAAAUGUGCUAAUAAAGGUCUGGUAAAACUCAAA